rnacentral:rRNA from 1 species
GAAAGUAAAUAAGGGCGCAUGGCGGAUGCCUUGGCUCUCGGAGGCGAUGAAGGACGUGAUAAGCUGCGAUAAGCUUCGGGUAGGUGCAAAUGACCAUUGAUCCGAAGAUUUCCGAAUGGGACAACCCGGCAUUCUGAAGGAAUGUCAUCCAACUUUGUUGGAGGCUAACGCAGGGAACUGAAACAUCUUAGUACCUGCAGGAAAAGAAAAUAAAUAAUGAUUCCCCUAGUAGUGGCGAGCGAACGGGGAUUAGCCCAAACCACCCAUGUUACGGCAUGUGUGGGGUUGUAGGACCACGCUCUCGCAAGACAGUUAUUGAGAAGAAACGACUGGAAAGUCGUGCCAUAGACGGUGAUAGCCCGGUAUUCUAAGGUAACCGAAGCGUAGUGGUAUCCUGAGUAGCGCGGAGCACGAGGAAUUCUGCGUGAAUCAGCCGGGACCAUCCGGUAAGGCUAAAUACUCCCGAGAGACCGAUAGCGAACCAGUACUGUGAAGGAAAGGUGAAAAGCACUUCGAAUAGAAGAGUGAAAUAGUCCCUGAAACCAUGCGCCUACAAGCGGUCGGAGCAGCGUAAGUUGUGACGGCGUGCCUUUUGCAUAAUGAACCUACGAGUUACUUUUUCCGGCAAGGUUAAGCAUCUUGAGAUGUGGAUCCGAAGCGAAAGCGAGUCUGAACAGGGCGGAUAGUCGGAAGGAGUAGACGCGAAACCAAGUGAUCUACCCUUGGGCAGGUUGAAGGUUAGGUAACACUAACUGGAGGACCGAACCGAUAAGCGUUGAAAAGCUUCCGGAUGACCUGAGGGUGGGGGUGAAAGGCUAAUCAAACUUGGAGAUAGCUCGUACUCCCCGAAAUGCAUUUAGGUGCAGCCUUGAGAGUUACUAAUGUGAGGUAGAGCGACUGAUAAGAUGCGAGGGCUUCACCGCCUAUCAAGUCUUGACAAACUCCGAAUGCGUGUCAGUUCUAUGUCAGGAGUGAGGGCAUGGGUGCUAAGGUCCAUGUCCUAAAGGAGAACAAUCCGGACCAACAGCUAAGGUCCCAAAAUGAAUACUAAGUUGAACUAACGAAGUCAGAUUGCUAAGACAGCUAGGAUGUUGGCUUGGAAGCAGCCAUUCAUUUAAAGAGUGCGUAACAGCUCACUAGUCGAGGAGUUUGGCGUGGAUAAUAAUCGGGCAUUAAGUGUUUUACCGAAGCUAUGGGAUACGUAAGUAUCGGUAGGGGAGCAUUCCACUCAGCGUUGAAGGCGAAGCGUGAGCUUUACUGGAGCGUGUGGAAAAGCAAAUGUAGGUAUAAGUAACGAUAAAGGGGGUGAGAAACCCCCUCGCCGAAAGACUAAGGUUUCCUGAUCAACGCUAAUCGGAUCAGGGUUAGUCGGGUCCUAAGGCUCAGCCGAACGGUGAGGCCGAUGGCAGAACAGGUUAAUAUUCCUGUACUACCUGUAGGAGUGAUGUGGAGACGGAGGAGUGACAACGCCGCGGACUGACGGAAUAGUCCGUUAAAGGGUGUAGAUGUUGAUUAUCCCAGGCAAAUCCGGGAUAAGAGUCGAACCUGACAGUAUACCAAUUUCCCCGGAAAACGGUAAUAGUGCGUGUAAACAUACUCCCAAGAAAAUCCGCUAAACUUAAUCUUACAGGUACCCGUACCGUAAACGGACACACGUAGUCGGGUUGAAUAUACUCAGGCGCUUGAGUGAAUCACGGUUAAGGAACUAGGCAAAUUGACCCUGUAACUUCGGGAUAAAGGGUCCCUACUGAGAGGUAGGGCGCAGAGAAUAGGUCCAGGCAACUGUUUAACAAAAACACAUGGCUGUGCGAAAUAGAAAUAUGAAGUAUACAGCCUGACACCUGCCCGGUGCUGGAAGGUUAAGAGGAGAUGUCAUCGCAAGAGAAGCAUUGAAUUGAAGCCCCAGUAAACGGCGGCCGUAACUAUAACGGUCCUAAGGUAGCGAAAUUCCUUGUCGGGU